rnacentral:rRNA from 1 species
UACGUAGGGUGCAAGCGUUAAUCGGAAUUACUGGGCGUAAAGCGUGCGCAGGCGGUUGUGUAAGUCAGAUGUGAAAUCCCCGGGCUCAACCUGGGAAUUGCAUUUGAGACUGCACGGCUAGAGUGUGUCAGAGGGGGGUAGAAUUCCACGUGUAGCAGUGAAAUGCGUAGAUAUGUGGAGGAAUACCGAUGGCGGAGGCAGCCCCCUGGGAUAACACUGACGCUCAUGCACGAAAGCGUGGGGAGCAAACAGG